AGGCGGCAUAGGGCUUCCGGCCUGGGCUGGAGAAGCGCAGGCAGCGUUGUGGCCAGGAGGUGGGCUCAGAGGGCGGCGCAGAGCCUUGCUUGGGGAGAGGCUCUCGGACAGUCGGGGUUGGCUGCGGGCCCGAGCCGGGUAGGGUCGCGCUCAGAGGCUA
rfam:Mus musculus clone 9 Six3 opposite strand (Six3OS) mRNA, complete sequence; alternatively spliced.